ACAGCUGUGUCUGGAGCGAGAAUACCGAAGGCGAUGCAGAUGCUACGCGCUCUUCGCCCAGGAACACAACGACACCAAAAACGACCUGGGGGGAGUUGACAUCCGCUGUUCUCUCUUUAAUACCACUCAGAAGGUGUGCAUGAAGAAGAUCGCAGCAGACGACCUCGAUGGCGUCUUGGAGUGUGACUGCCCAUUACCAUGCCGAGAAACACAGUAU